rnacentral:rRNA from 1 species
AUUGAACGCUGGCGGUAGGCCUAACACAUGCAAGUCGAACGCGAAAGUCCUUCGGGAUGAGUAGAGUGGCGGACGGGUGAGUAACGCGUAGGAAUCUGUCCUGUAGUGGGGGAUAACGUUUCGAAAGGAACGCUAAUACCGCAUACGCCCUACGGGGAAAGCGGGGGAGUCUUCGGACCUCGUGCUAGAGGAGGAGCCUGCGUCGGAUUAGCUAGUUGGUGAGGUAAAGGCUCACCAAGGCGACGAUCCGUAGCUGGUCUGAGAGGAUGAUCAGCCACACCGGAACUGAGACACGGUCCGGACUCCUACGGGAGGCAGCAGUGGGGAAUAUUGCGCAAUGGGCGAAAGCCUGACGCAGCCAUUGCCGCGUGUGUGAAGAAGGCCCUUGGGUUGUAAAGCACUUUCAAUUGGGAAGAAAGGUUGCGUGUUAAUAGCACGUAGCUGUGACGUUACCUUUAGAGAAGCACCGGCUAACUCCGUGCCAGCAGCCGUCGGUAAAGUGACU